rnacentral:rRNA from 1 species
UACGAAGGGGGCUAGCGUUGCUCGGAAUCACUGGGCGUAAAGCGCACGUAGGCGGAUUGUUAAGUCAGGGGUGAAAUCCUGGAGCUCAACUCCAGAACUGCCUUUGAUACUGAGGAUCUUGAGUUCGGGAGAGGUGAGUGGAACUGCGAGUGUAGAGAUGAAAUUCGUAGAUAUUCGGAAGAACACCAGUGGCGAAGGCGACUCACUGGACACGUAUUGACGCUGAGGUGCGAAAGCGUGGGGAGCAAACAGGG